AUAAACAAAACAGUUAAUUAGAACAGGAUUUCACGUGGCACGCUUAGUACACUCAUAGAACCUCUUAUCAUGCUGUUUUUAACAGUUAGAUGUAAAUGAAUACGAGACGCACUGAUACCUGGUACUAAAACAAUUAGUUCUUUAUCUUGUUCAAACAUCGCAACUUCAUUAUGCCUUUUCAGAAAUAGCUGUUCACAAUUAUCUGAGAAUGAACUGAAAUUAAUAGUUAAGGUAGAACUUUUUAUGUACAUGACCUAAUUAAUCUGCCACUGAACUGUUUAUUCAAUUUUUUGCAUGCAUGAACAAAUCUAUUUAUACAUGCCAUAUGUAUAAAUAACAUAAUUAUGGCCAUAAACAAGCACCUCCUACUAGAUACCAGGUAACAGAUAUGUUCUACUAGAUACCAGGUAACAGAUAUGUUGAGUUUUACCUCCUACUAGAUACCAGGUAACAGAUAUGUUCUACUAGAUACCAGGUAACAGAUAUGUUCCACUAGAUACCAGGUAACAGAUAUGUUGGGUUUUACCUCCUACUAGAUACCAGGUAACAGAUAUGUUCUACUAGAUACCAGGUAACAGAUAUGUUCUACUAGAUACCAGGUAACAGAUAUGUUCUACUAGAUACCAGGUAACAGAUAUGUUCUACUAGAUACCAGGUAACAGAUAUGUUCUACUAGAUACCAGGUAACAGAUAUGUUCUACUAGAUACCAGGUAACAGAUAUGUUCUACUAGAUACCAGGUAACAGAUAUGUUCUACUAGAUACCAGGUAACAGAUAUGUUCUACUAGAUACCAGGUAACAGAUAUGUUCUACUAGAUACCAGGUAACAGAUAUGUUCUACUAGAUACCAGGUAACAGAUAUGUUCUACUAGAUACCAGGUAACAGAUAUGUUCUACUAGAUACCAGGUAACAGAUAUGUUCUACUAGAUACCAGGUAACAGAUAUGUUCUACUAGAUACCAGGUAACAGAUAUGUUCUACUAGAUACCAGGUAACAGAUAUGUUCUACUAGAUACCAGGUAACAGAUAUGUUCUACUAGAUACCAGGUAACAGAUAUGUUCUACUAGAUACCAGGUAACAGAUAUGUUCUACUAGAUACCAGGUAACAGAUAUGUUCUACUAGAUACCAGGUAACAGAUAUGUUCUACUAGAUACCAGGUAACAGAUAUGUUCUACUAGAUACCAGGUAACAGAUAUGUUCUACUAGAUACCAGGUAACAGAUAUGUUCUACUAGAUACCAGGUAACAGAUAUGUUCUACUAGAUACCAGGUAACAGAUAUGUUCUACUAGAUACCAGGUAACAGAUAUGUUCUACUAGAUACCAGGUAACAGAUAUGUUCUACUAGAUACCAGGUAACAGAUAUGUUCUACUAGAUACCAGGUAACAGAUAUGUUCUACUAGAUACCAGGUAACAGAUAUGUUCUACUAGAUACCAGGUAACAGAUAUGUUCUACUAGAUACCAGGUAACAGAUAUGUUCUACUAGAUACCAGGUAACAGAUAUGUUCUACUAGAUACCAGGUAACAGAUAUGUUCUACUAGAUACCAGGUAACAGAUAUGUUCUACUAGAUACCAGGUAACAGAUAUGUUCUACUAGAUACCAGGUAACAGAUAUGUUCUACUAGAUACCAGGUAACAGAUAUGUUCUACUAGAUACCAGGUAACAGAUAUGUUCUACUAGAUACCAGGUAACUGAUAUGUUCUACUAGAUACCAGGUAACAGAUAUGUUCUACUAGAUACCAGGUAACAGAUAUGUUCUACUAGAUACCAGGUAACAGAUAUGUUCUACUAGAUACCAGGUAACAGAUAUGUUCUACUAGAUACCAGGUAACAGAUAUGUUCUACUAGAUACCAGGUAACAGAUAUGUUCUACUAGAUACCAGGUAACAGAUAUGUUCUACUAGAUACCAGGUAACAGAUAUGUUCUACUAGAUACCAGGUAACAGAUAUGUUCUACUAGAUACCAGGUAACUGAUAUGUUCUACUAGAUACCAGGUAACAGAUAUGUUCUACUAGAUACCAGGUAACAGAUAUGUUCUACUAGAUACCAGGUAACAGAUAUGUUCUACUAGAUACCAGGUAACAGAUAUGUUCUACUAGAUACCAGGUAACAGAUAUGUUCUACUAGAUACCAGGUAACAGAUAUGUUCUACUAGAUACCAGGUAACAGAUAUGUUGAGUUUUACCUCCUACUAGAUACCAGGUAACAGAUAUGUUCUACUAGAUACCAGGUAACAGAUAUGUUCUACUAGAUACCAGGUAACAGAUAUGUUCUACUAGAUACCAGGUAACAGAUAUGUUCUACUAGAUACCAGGUAACAGAUAUGUUCUACUAGAUACCAGGUAACAGAUAUGUUCUACUAGAUACCAGGUAACAGAUAUGUUCUACUAGAUACCAGGUAACAGAUAUGUUCUACUAGAUACCAGGUAACAGAUAUGUUGAGUUAACUCACCAUCUUGAGGUCCUUCC